rnacentral:rRNA from 1 species
GAUAAGUGCUGAAAGCAUCUAAGCAUGAAGCCCCCCUCUAGAUGAGACUUCCCAUCAUUUUAAAUGAGUAAGAUCCCUCAGAGACGAUGAGGUUGAUAGGUCCGAGGUGGAAGCAUGGCAACAUGUGUAGCUGACGGAUACUAAUCGAUCGAGGACUUAACUAA